AAUCCCAUUUAUUUGCUUCCAUGCUAUCUCAGUGGUAUGAGUAGUUAUACGCAUGGGAAAGACUGUACAAGUCCACUGCAAAUUAGAGAUGAAAGUACCAGUGUUUCAUCUCUUUUGCUGGGGCUGGACAGCU
ensembl:snoRNA